AUGAACGCUAGCGACAGGCCUAACACAUGCAAGUCGAGGGGCAGCGAGGAUGUAGCAAUACAUUCGUCGGCGACCGGCGCACGGGUGAGUAACGCGUAUCCAACCUGCCCUUCAUAUUGGGAUAGCCUCUCGAAAGGGAGAUUAAUACCGAAUAACAUAGUUUAGUUGCCUGACCAGACUAUGAAAGCUCCGGCGAUGAAGGAUGGGGAUGCGUUCCAUUAGGUAGUAGGCGGGGUAACGGCCCACCUAGCCGACGAUGGAUAGGGGUUCUGAGAGGAAGGUCCCCCACACUGGAACUGAGACACGGUCCAGACUCCUACGGGAGGCAGCAGUGAGGAAUAUUGGUCAAUGGGCGCAAGCCUGAACCAGCCAAGUAGCGUGAAGGAUGACUGCCCUAUGGGUUGUAAACUUCUUUUAUACGCGAACAACCGCAGGUACGUGUACCUGUCUGCGUGUAGCGUAUGAAUAAGCAUCGGCUAACUCCGUG
rnacentral:rRNA from 1 species